rnacentral:tRNA from 1 species
AGCAGCGUGGCUCAGUGGAAAGAGCACGGGCUUGGGAGUCAGAGGUCAUGGGUUCGCAUCCCGACUCUGCCA